rnacentral:rRNA from 1 species
CCUACGGGAGGCAGCAGUCGAGAAUCAUUCACAAUGGGGGAAACCCUGAUGGUGCGACGCCGCGUGGGGGAAUGAAGGUCUUCGGAUUGUAAACCCCUGUCAUGAGGGAGCAAAGUAAAAAGAGAGUACCACAAGAGGAAGAGACGGCGAACUCGGUGCCAGCAGCCGCGGUAAAACAGAGGUCGCAAGCGGGGUGCGGAAUGACUGGGCGUAAAGCGUGCGUAGGCUGUUUCGUAAGUCGUGUGUGAAAGGCGCGGGCUCACCCCGCGGACGGCACAUGAUACUGCGAGACUAGAGUACUGGAGGGGGAACCGGUCUUCUCGGUGUAGCCGU